AACGAACGCUGGCGGCGUGCCUAAUACAUGCAAGUCGAACGCACAGUUUAUACCGUAGCUUGCUACACCAUAGACUGUGAGUUGCGAACGGGUGAGUCACGCGUAGGUAACCUGCCUGGUAGCGGGGGGUAACUAUUGGAAACGAUAUCUAAUAUCCCAUAAUCUUAAUUAUUGCAUGAUAAUUCAUUGAAAGGUGGAUUUGCACAACUACCAGAGGGACCGCUAUUGUAUUAGCUAAUUGGUGAGGUAAAGGCCCACCCAGGGCACGAUCCAUAGCCGGUCUGAGAGGAGGAUCAGCCACACUGGAACUGAGACACGGUCCAGACACCUACGGGAGGCAGCAGUGGGGAAUAUUGGACAAUGGGCGCAAGCCUGAUCCAGCCAUACCGCGUGGGUGAAGAAGGCCUUCGGGUUGUAAAGCCCUUUUGUUGGGAAAGAAAAGCAGCAGGUUAAUACCCCGCUGUUCUGACGGUACCCAAAGAAUAAGCACCGGCUAACUUCGUG
rnacentral:rRNA from 1 species